UCCAGCGCGCUAUCGACUGUGCCCCAAAAGCAUGCUCAAGCGGCAGUCGAUAUCCGCGCUUAUAAACCAAGGGUCGUUACAAUAUAAAUAAUUUGCUCGAUCAGACGAAAAAGAAAAAAAUCGCUUACACCAAAAAUAACAAAAACGUCACAAAAUGUCGUCAUAAUAUAUGCGCGACCUGUUUCGACUGGGAAGCAUACGGUGAGCUUUAGUCGUUGAUGCUAGCUAGCCUGUGAAGUUGCUAGUUCACCACAAAAAAAAGUGGGGAAAAAGAGCUGUUCUUACCUUCCAGAAGUCGCUGUAUGAUGGAGUCGAUGUUUAAUUUAUCGGCUUCUGCCAUAAUAUUCCUGUGAUAAUUUUUCCGUUUAAAAUAAUAUUUAAAAAAAUGUAGCAGGCUUGUUAACUAGGUGUGCUAGUUUAAUCAGCUAAUGUUAGCCCGCUAACCUUGCGCCAGAUUAUGCCUUAAUAGUUGAAGUUGGGGGGGAAACUUUAAUGGAUUUCCCCGAAGAAUAUUUGAACAAAACGCUUUAAUUAUCGACUUUUCAUACCGGUUUAGAUUUCACCGAGUUAUAUUUCAAUUUGUUUCACCUUCAACUGGAUAGCACCCAGCCCUCAACAAAAGGACCGCUGAGAAGCGAGCAAGAAUAACGAAGUACUUCCGGGUUACGAUUUUUUUUGGACGCUUCAGAAUAGAGGUCCUAUCCUGAACACGUUGUAAAUGAAUAAUUACAGCGACAUUUGUGGAAAAUGUGCACAAAAAGCGUUCUGUUAUAUACAAGUUAUGAUACAAAGAAUUAGAUCAACAGUGUUUUGUCUGUACACAAUUUACUGCACAUUGUUGCCGCAAUGAGCACUUCUAGUUUCCAAAUCCAGAGUUAACACCCCCAGAUGCUGCUAAUUUUGAAGCAAUCAGGGCAAUCAGUUUAAAUCCAUUCCGUUGUUCAAAUUGUACGAACAUAUUGGACCAUACACAAUUUCCUGUACAAACAGGUAAACACGCUUGGCACACCUGUAUUAGGGGAGUUCAUCCCAUUCUCUGCAAAUCCUCUAAAGCUCUGUCAAGUUGGAUGGUGAGUGUUGCUGCACAGCUAUUUUCAGGUCUCUCUGGCUGGGCCACUCAAGGACAUUCAGAGACUUGUCCCGAAGCCCCUCCUGCAUUGUCUUGGCUGUGUGCUUAGGGUCCUUGUCCUGUUGGAAGGUGAACCUUCGCCACAGUCUGAGGUCCUGAGCGCUCUGGAGCAGGUUUUCAUCAAGGAUCUCUGUACUUUGCUCCGUUCAUCUUUGCCUCGAUCCUCACUAGUCUCCCAGUCCUUGCCCCUGAAAAACUUCCCCACAGCAUGAUGCUGCCACCACCAUGCUUCACCGUAGGGAUGGUGCCAGGUUUCCUCCAGACGUGACACUUGGCAUUCAGGCCAAAGAGUUCAAUCUUAGUUUCAUCAGACCAGAGAAUCUUGUUUCUCAUGGUCUGAGAGUCUUGAGGUUUUACUGAGGAAUGGCUUCCGUCUGGCCACUCUACCAUAAAGGCCUGAUUGGUGGAAUGCUGCAGAGAUGGAUGUCCUUCUGGAAGGUUCUCCCAUCUCCACAGAGGAACUCUAGAGCUCUGUCAGAGUGACCAUCAGGUUCUUUGUCACCUCCCUGACCAAGGCCCUUUUCCCCCGAUUGCUCAAAUUGGCCCAGGCGGCCAGCUCUAGGAAGAGUCUUGGUAGUUCCAAACAUCUUCCAUUUAAGAAUGAUGGAGGCCACUGUGUUGUUGGGGACCUUCAAUGCUGCAGAAAUGUUUUGGUACCCUUCCCCAGAUCUGUGCCUUGACACAAUUCUGUCUUGGAGCUCAACAAACAAAUCCUUCGACCUCAUGGCUUGGUUUUUGCUCUGACGUGCACUGACAACUGCGGGACCUUAAAUAGACAGGUGUGUGCCUUUCCAAAUCAUGUCCAAUCAAAUGAAUUUACCACGGGUGAACUCCAAUCAAGUUGUAGAAACAUCUCAAUGAUGAUCAAUGGAAACAGGAUGCACGUAAGCUCAAUUUCAAGUCUCAUAGCAAAGGGUCUGAAAACAUAUAUAAAUAAGGUAUUUCUGUUUUUAAUAUUUUAUACAUUAGGAAAAAAGCGAAAAACCUGUUUUCGCUUUGUCAUUGUGAGGUAUUGUGUGUAUAUUGAUGAUAAUAUAUAUUUUUAAAUAUAUUUUAGAAUAAGGCUGCAACGUAACAAAAUGUGGAAAAAGGGAAGGGGUCUUAAUACUUUCCGAAUGCACUGUAUAUUUUCAAAGAAGUCAUUAUUAUUUGGCCCAUACCGGUUAAUUAGCCAGAUAUGUUUUUGGUCCAAUAGUAUAUUUAAAAUGAUCAAUUUUCCUUGAGGAUCGUUUAGCACAGUUUGCACAAUCGUAUCAAAAUUGUUGUUAAUUAAUAUAAUCACCCCUUUUGAGUUUCUUUGCCUAUGAAAAAUAUAUAUUUUUUUCUCUUUUAGCCAGGUAAAAAUGUAUAUUUUUUGUGAUCUGUUAAGCCAUAACAGUUGUAGCUGGUUAUAUUUAUUUUCCCACCACAACCAAUGUUUGUAAACUUAUUUGACCUUUUCUGCUGCUUUUGAGACACUGUUCGAUCCCUCCUUGGGGCACUUACUGUUAAGUAAAUAAAACGCUAAACAAUCACAAAACAGCAACUAUUUGUCACUAUGUAUUAUUAUACUAAUAUGUAUUCAUUAUAGAAUUGUCAGUUAUUGAUGAGCUUCAGCUCCAGAUGACAAACUCCAUGGGAGUGUGUGUGCAUGUUGUAUUUUCUUUUUCCUUGUCAGCCACCAUCUCUCCUAACCAUGACCUCUCCACCAACUGUGAGUAAGCACAACUGCACAUGUUCAUUGUGGGAAAUGGAUAACACAAUCUGUAGGCCUAAAUAUCUCCAAUCCUAAAAUAAAACGGAGCAUACAUAUAAAAACAAGUAGUUACAAUAUAUUGACAUAUUUACAUACAUCGUGUGUGUGAGAGACUGUAUAUAUUUUAUUUUUUAUUGUUAGCCACCCAUCUCUGCUUUUCUGCUUCAUAAAAAGCUGAGGUCUGGAACUCCUUCCAGGUCAUCUCUCUCUCUCCAUUUCUUGGCCUUGGUUGCCUGAUGACUCACCCUGAAUUUUAAUCGCUACAUACAUUCAUUGUGGAGAACAAAAGAUGUGGGAUGGGUAGCCAGGGAAUGGCUUUGGUACAUAAAAAUAUCUAAUAAAUCAAACUGUUGCUUUAACUGUGAAUGUACUUUAUUGCACACAAUCCUCAAAUAAAAUGGAACAUACAUAAAAUAAACAAUGUAUUUACAUUGGGUCUAAUGUGGGGUUUUCUCUUAGAGUGAGGCCUGUUUUUCAACUCAGAAAAAUUACACAAUAGUCUUAUACAAUAUUAACAGUCACACUUUUAUUGGAUAGAUAUUUAGAGUAAUUAUGUAGAUAUUGAUAAUGGAUAUGUAGUCGUAGAUAUCUCCAAUCCUAAUAUAAAAUGGAACAUACAUAAAAUAAACAAGUAAUUACAAUUUAUUUACAUUGGGGAUAAUGUGUGUGUGACAGAGACAGAGAGUGUGUGUGCAUGUUGUGUUUUAUUUUUCCUUGUCAACCACCCAUCUCUACUUUGUCUUGCCAGGCCCAGUGUAUGCACUUCUGUGUGAGGCUGUCGGGCAGUGGUGGAGUGCAUGGCAAAUCUGAAAGAGAGAUGCACAAAGUGACAAUCACGUAAUGCUGACGUGCACCCUUUCACUAACUUCGGGUGUGACUGUGGGAAGAGGGCCCUGGAAAUUGAACUGCUCCCUUUUAGAAGAUGAUAGAGUAGCUAUUCCAUUGAAGGCCUUCACCAAGUUCUGGCCCACCCUCACGUGCUUGAAGGAAGCACUGUGGUCCUCCCGUAACCUGCUGGUAGCGAAACAAGUAGACACCACCCCCCAGGCAGUGGCCAUGGUAGCCACGGAAGCCCUGGGGUGGUACGGAAGGAAGGGGGCCUCGACCCCAGGUGAAGGGUCCCCCACACCACCCUAGGUCCCGGCGGCCACGGCCUGACAGCGCUGCAGCACCUAGGGCGAUGCGCCUAGGGGAGGGAUCUCCUCUGGGCCCCGAAGGACGGGACAAUGAUUGAUUCGGGAGAGCAGGAGGAGGCUAGUUUGAUAAGGACUCACCCCACUCCUGAACAAAGGAUCAAAGACAGCCUUUUAACAAAGUGACUUUUUAACAUGUUUCUCAUGUCUUAAAAAGGUUUUACCUUUGCUAAAUCAUUUGUACACAUUUUAAAUGGCUUUUACAGAUUUGAGGUUUUUACAAUGAAAAGUACUUUUACUCAUGGUUGUUCUUAUUGGUUUUAACAACAUGUACUUUUUAACUAAUUUAAAUGUAACCUUCAAAUGCAGUGUUUUAUGCUUUAUUGCCAUUUUUAUGUGUAUGAAAUGAUGUAAAAAAUGUAUGAGCUGUUUUUAAAGGAAAUGUGACAAUAAAAACGUUAAAAUUAAAAUAAAUAAAAAGCUUUCUGAA